rnacentral:rRNA from 1 species
UAGAAAUGUAAUAAAAAAUUUAAAGGAUUAAUAGUUAUGAUCUUUAAAAUUAAAAAAUUUGGCGGUAUUUUAGUCUUUUCAGAGGAACCUGUUCUAUAAUUGAUAAUCCACGAUUAAUUAGACUUAAAUUUUAAAUUUUCAUAUCGUUGUAGUUUGAAUAUUUUUAUAGAAAAUAAAAUAUUCAAAAUUUUAAUUUAAAAGUAAAUCAGAUCAAGAUGUAGUGUAUAUUUAAGAAGAAAUGGGUUACAAUAUUUAAAAAUAAAUGGAUUAUAAAUUGAAAUAUUUAUAUAAAAUUGGAUUUGAAAGUAAUUUUAUUUAUUUAUUUAAAAUGAUUUAAGCUCUAAAAUGUGU